rnacentral:rRNA from 1 species
UACGAAGGGGGCUAGCGUUGUUCGGAAUUACUGGGCGUAAAGGGCGCGUAGGCGGUCCUGAUCGUCGGAUGUGAAAGGCCUGGGCUCAACCUGGGAACUGCAUCCGAUACGGCGGGACUGGAGUGUGGGAGAGGUUGGUGGAAUUCCCAGUGUAGAGGUGAAAUUCGUAGAUAUUGGGAAGAACACCGGUGGCGAAGGCGGCCAACUGGACCACAACUGACGCUGAGGUGCGAAAGCGUGGGGAGCGAACAGG